AGCUCUGUAAGCGUAUAUCAAAGUUGUUGCAGUUAAAACGCUCGUAGUCGAAUCUUGGCUGAACUUACGCGGAGUCCGCAAGGAUUCUGCGGUUGAGGAAAGCCUUUGUGGAUUGUGUGCGCGGAGGUGUUUUAUUACACUUCUGUUGUACUGCCACCGUUUACUGUGAAAAAAUUAGAGUGUUCAAAGCAAGCGAUUUGCCCUUAAUACAUUAGCAUGGAAUAAUAUAAUAGGACCUGGUCUUAUUUUGUUGGUUUGUAUAAUUUCAGGUAAUGAUUAACAGGGACGGUUGGGGGCAUUUGUAUUCCGAGGCGAGAGGUGAAAUUCUUAGACCCUCGGAAGACAAACAGCUGCGAAAGCGUUUGCCAAGGACGUUUUCAUUGAUCAAGAACGAAAGUAC
rnacentral:rRNA from 1 species